CACCCCUUCCCAUCCCGAACAGGGAAGUUAAGCCCGUUUGCGCCGAUGGUACUGCCACACCAGGUGGGAGAGUAGGUCGCCGCCUUCC
rnacentral:rRNA from 1 species